GUUAGCUCAAUGGUAGAGCAGUGGUUUUUGAACCACCUGUUGCAGGUUCGAGUCCUGCGCCGAA
rnacentral:tRNA from 1 species